GACGAACGCUGGCGGCGUGCCUAAUACAUGCAAGUAGAACGCUGAAGGAGGAGCUUGCUUCUCUGGAUGAGUUGCGAACGGGUGAGUAACGCGUAGGUAACCUGCCUGGUAGCGGGGGAUAACUAUUGGAAACGAUAGCUAAUACCGCAUAAUAGUAGAUGUUGCAUGACAUUUGCUUAAAAGGUGCAAUUGCAUCACUACCAGAUGGACCUGCGUUGUAUUAGCUAGUUGGUGAGGUAAUGGCUCACCAAGGCAACGAUACAUAGCCGACCUGAGAGGGGGAUCGGCCAAACUGGGACUGAGACACGGCCCAGACUCCUACGGGAGGCAGCAGUAGGGAAUCUUCGGCAAUGGACGGAAGUCUGACCGGGCAACGCCGCGUGAGUGAAGAAGGGUCUCGGAUCGUAAAGCUCUGUUGUAAGAGAAGAACGAGUGUGAGAGUGGAAAGUGCACACUUUGACGGUAUCUUACCAGAAAGGGACGGCUAACUACGUG
rnacentral:rRNA from 1 species